GACGAACGCUGGCGGCGUGCUUAACACAUGCAAGUCGAACGGAAAGGCCCUGCUUUUGUGGGGUGCUCGAGUGGCGAACGGGUGAGUAACACGUGAGUAACCUGCCCUUGACUUUGGGAUAACUUCAGGAAACUGGGGCUAAUACCGGAUAGGAGCUCCUGCUGCAUGGUGGGGGUUGGAAAGUUUCGGCGGUUGGGGAUGGACUCGCGGCUUAUCAGCUUGUUGGUGGGGUAGUGGCUUACCAAGGCUUUGACGGGUAGCCGGCCUGAGAGGGUGACCGGCCACAUUGGGACUGAGAUACGGCCCAGUCUCCUACGGGGGGCAGCAGGGGGGAAUAUUGCACAAUGGGGGGAAGCCUGAUGCAGCGACGCCGCGUGCGGGAUGACGGCCUUCGGGUUGUAAACCGCUUUCGCCUGUGACGAAGCGGGAGUGACGGUAAUGGGUAAAGAAGCACCGGCUAACUACGUG
rnacentral:rRNA from 1 species